AGAGUUUGAUCCUGGCUCAGAACGUACGCUGGCGGCACGCCUAAUACAUGCAAGUCGAACGAAGUAGCAAUACUUAGUGGCAGACGGGUGAGUAACAUGUGGGUAUCUUCCCUUUGGUGAGGAAUAACACGAGGAAACUUGUGCUAAUACCUCAUAAGUCUUUACGGAGAAAGCUUUAUGCGCCAUUGGAUGAGCCUGCACUUGAUUAGUUUGUUGGUGGGGUAAUGGCCUACCAAGACAAUGAUCAAUAGCUGAUUUGAGAGGAUGAUCAGCCACAUUGGGACUGAGACACGGCCCAAACUCCUACGGGAGGCGGCAGUGGGGAAUCUUGCACAAUGGAGGAAACUCUGAUGCAGCGAUGCCGCGUGAGUGAAGAAGGCCUUUGGGUUGUAAAGCUCUUUCGUCGGGGAAGAAAAUGACUGUACCCGAAUAAGAAGGUCCGGCUAACUUCGUGCCAGCAGCCGCGGUAAUACGAAGGGACCUAGCGUAGUUCGGAAUUACUGGGCUUAAAGAGUUCGUAGGUGGUUGAAAAAGUUGGUGGUGAAAUCCCAGAGCUUAACUCUGGAACUGCCAUCAAAACUUUUCAGCUAGAGUAUGAUAGAGGAAAGCAGAAUUUCUAGUGUAGAGGUGAAAUUCGUAGAUAUUAGAAAGAAUACCAAUUGCGAAGGCAGCUUUCUGGAUCAUUACUGACACUGAGGAACGAAAGCAUGGGUAGCGAAGAGGAUUAGAUACCCUCGUAGUCCAUGCCGUAAACGAUGUGUGUUAGACGUUGGAAAUUUAUUUUCAGUGUCGCAGCGAAAGCGAUAAACACACCGCCUGGGGAGUACGACCGCAAGGUUAAAACUCAAAUGAAUUGACGGGGACCCGCACAAGUAGUGGAGCAUGUGGUUUAAUUCGAAGAUACGCGCAGAACCUUACCAACACUUGACAUGUUCGUCGCGACUUUAAGAGAUUAAAGUUUUCGGUUCGGCCGGACGAAACACAGGUGCUGCAUGGCUGUCGUCAGCUCGUGUCGUGAGAUGUUGGGUUAAGUCCCGCAACGAGCGCAACCCUCACUUUUAGUUGCCAUCAUUAAGUUGGGCACUCUGAAAGAACUGCCAGUGAUAAGCUGGAGGAAGGUGGGGAUGACGUCAAGUCCUCAUGGCCCUUACGUGUUGGGCUACACACGUGCUACAAUGGUAUCUACAACAGGAAGCAAGACGGCGACGUUAAGCAAAUCCUUAAAAGAUACCUCAGUUCGGAUUGCACUCUGCAACUCGAGUGCAUGAAGCUGGAAUUACUAGUAAUCGUGGAUCAGCGUGCCACGGUGAAUGCGUUCCCGGGUCUUGUACACACCGCCCGUCACACCAUGGGAGUUGGUUCUACCUUAAGGCAAGGUUUCAAACCCUUGACCACGGUAUAGUCAGCGACUGGGGUGAAGUCGUAACAAGGUAACC
rnacentral:rRNA from 1 species